GCCGGGGUGGCGGAACGGCAACGCGCUAGCCUGGAGAGCUAGUGCCCGCAAGGGCUUGGGGGUUCGAAUCCCUCCCCCGGCG
rnacentral:tRNA from 1 species